rnacentral:lncRNA from 1 species
CUUUGAUACCGGGGAUGCGCGGGUAUCCCCUUUUAGGUUCGGCAGUGGGCGACGGGGAACGCUCCGGCGAUCACUAGAGAGGCCGAUGCGAAGCAUGUGAACACACUAAGAACGCAUGCAAACGCUUUUUACCCAGGUUCGGGCCACCCGGAGGUGUAAAACCCUACGUCCUGCUUGUCUGAGCUAAUAUUACCAGGAGAUCGUGUGUUUACAAGUUGCUGAGGGAGGGUCCCCGGGUACCCUUCUUUUGGCUAAGUGCUACUUACUACUUUGGGCUACUGCCAGUGCAGAACUACGAGUUGGUCGAACCCUUUUCUUUUUGAACCCUUUGACCGCUGGCGGAGGUCCUCCUUUUAUAGCCAAGGGGAU